UAUAAGGGAUUUUGAGUUUUUGUUUGCAGCGUUUGACCACUCGUCUUAUUCAAAUUUUUUUGAAAUUAUUAUUUAUUUUAUUUGUGACUACAGUACUUUAAGCACAACUUUUCAUUUUUUAUAUUUGCAAAAAAGAUUUGAAUAAGACGAGUGGUCAAACGUUGCAAUCAAAAACUCAAAAUCUCUUAUA
rfam:Oryza nivara chromosome 9, whole genome shotgun sequence.